GAUGAACGCUGGCGGCGUGCUUAACACAUGCAAGUCGAACGAAGCACUUUAUUUGAUUUCCUUCGGGACUGAUUAUUUUGUGACUGAGUGGCGGACGGGUGAGUAACGCGUGGGUAACCUGCCUUGUACAGGGGGAUAACAGUUGGAAACGGCUGCUAAUACCGCAUAAGCGCACAGCAUCGCAUGAUGCAGUGUGAAAAACUCCGGUGGUAUAAGAUGGACCCGCGUUGGAUUAGCUAGUUGGUGAGGUAACGGCCCACCAAGGCGACGAUCCAUAGCCGACCCGAGAGGGUGACCGGCCACAUUGGGACUGAGACACGGCCCAAACUCCUACGGGAGGCAGCAGUGGGGAAUAUUGCACAAUGGGCGAAAGCCUGAUGCAGCGACGCCGCGUGAGCGAAGAAGUAUUUCGGUAUGUAAAGCUCUAUCAGCAGGGAAGAUAAUGACGGUACCUGACUAAGAAGCACCGGCUAAAUACGUG
rnacentral:rRNA from 1 species